GGAACCACACUCCUCUGGAUUACUUUGUCAUGUGAUGGCUCACUCCUCAUGCAGCUAUUCCUAACCCCAAAGGAUAAGAGCAAUUGACUCAGAUCAGCAUCAAUGGGUGGCUUCCUUCCUUGGGAGAAGUACCUCGGGGGGUGAAGAUGAAUCGGAUUGCAAUCAAAACACAGAAAGGGAGAGAUAGGGUGGAGUCGGAGAAGAGUCAUUUCCUAAUUUAAGUUGACUUUCUCUUACCUUUUUUUGUGGUUCUUGAGGAUAGAGUUGAG
rnacentral:lncRNA from 1 species